UACGAAGGGGGCUAGCGUUGUUCGGAAUCACUGGGCGUAAAGCGCACGUAGGCGGAUUUUUAAGUCAGGGGUGAAAUCCCGGGGCUUAACCUGGGAAUGGCAUUUGGGACUGCAAGGCUCGAGUGCGGCAGAGGAGACUGGAAUUCCUGGUGUAGCAGUGAAAUGCGUAGAUAUCAGGAGGAACACCGGUGGCGAAGGCGGCGAUCUGGGUCGAUACUGACGCUGAGGUGCGAAAGCGUGGGGAGCAAACAGG
rnacentral:rRNA from 1 species